GUGUCAGCAGCCGCGGUAAUACAGAGGGUGCAAGCGUUAAUCGGAUUUACUGGGCGUAAAGCGCGCGUAGGCGGCCAAUUAAGUCAAAUGUGAAAUCCCCGAGCUUAACUUGGGAAUUGCAUUCGAUACUGGUUGGCUAGAGUGUGGGAGAGGAUGGUAGAAUUCCAGGUGUAGCGGUGAAAUGCGUAGAGAUCUGGAGGAAUACCGAUGGCGAAGGCAGCCAUCUGGCCUAACACUGACGCUGAGGUGCGAAAGCAUGGGGAGCAAACAGGAUUAGAAACCCGGGUAGUCC
rnacentral:rRNA from 1 species